GGCCGGAGCCCCGGCCCGGGGGCUGCUCCCGGCGCUGCGCCGAGCCCGGGCCGCUGAGCGGGGACGGCACCGGAGAGCGAGGCUGGCGAUGGAGCUCGGCCUCAGGACCGGCACCGGAGGAUCGAGGCAGCCCCAGGAGCCGGCACUGACCGUGCCGCGGGUCGGGCACAGGCUGCUCCCAGCUCUGCCCGCGGAACUUCGGCAAUUGCCGACAGCAGUUCUUUGCCCUGCCAUCCAGAAGGGGCAGCUCAUCUGACACCUGCCAGGUCCUGCCUGGGAGGGAAACGGCUACAGGAGAGGAAACCAAGAAAUGCUCCAACCGGAUGCCACCGCGCGAGUCAAAGGAGGGAAGGACGGCAGGGAAAUAGAGUCAGGAACUGCGCUUUUAUUCAAUCUCUGCAGCUCUCCCUCCUCUGCACGAGCCCUUCGCAGCCACGGCCCGAGGGAGCGCGGCCGGCUGGGCUGUGCCCGGCUGGGGACGGGCACCAAUUCAUCACUGCCGCGCUCAGGGAGGUUUUCCGGCCCCGUCCGGGAUUCACCCAACGGCUGCAAAGGUGCUCGUGCGACGUCCGAGCUCAUUUGCAGGGAUAAAGGAGCCAACCCAGUCCGGAGCGAUCCCUCGCUCCCAG